UGGGGAAUAUUGCACAAUGGGGGAAACCCUGAUGCAGCGACGCCGCGUGGAGGAAGAAGGCCCUCGGGUUGUAAACUCCUGUCUUUGGGGGACGAUAAUGACGGUACCCAAGGAGGAAGCCACGGCUAACUACGUGCCAGCAGCCGCGGUAAAAGCGAUAGGUGGUGCAAGCGUUGUCCGGAAUUACUGGGUGUAAAGGGAGCGCAGGCGGAGCGGCAAGUUGGAGGUGAAAACCCAUGGGCUCAACCCAUGAAUUGCCUUCAAAACUGUCGGUCUUGAGUGGUGUAGAGGUAAGCGGAAUUCCCGGUGUAGCGGUGGAAUGCGUAGAUAUCGGGGAGGAACACCAGUGGCGAAGGCGGCUUACUGGGCACUAACUGACGCUGAGGCUCGAAAGCAUGGGUAGCAAACAGGAUUAGAUACC
rnacentral:rRNA from 1 species